ACAGCAGUCGCCGCGGUAAUACGGAGGGGGCUAGCGUUGUUCGGAAUUACUGGGCGUAAAGCGCACGUAGGCUGCUUUGUAAGUCAGGGGUGAAAUCCUGGAGCUCAACUCCAGAACUGCCUUUGAUACUGAAGAUCUUGAGUUCGGGAGAGGUGAGUGGAACUGCGAGUGUAGAGGUGAAAUGCGUAGAUAUGCGGAGGAACACCGAUGGCGAAGGCAGCCCCCUGGGCCAAUACUGACGCUCAUGCACGAAAGCGUGGGGAGCAAACAGGAUUAGAUACCCCAGUAGUCCCUGUCUCUUAUAC
rnacentral:rRNA from 1 species